AUUGAACGCUGGCGGCAGGCUUAACACAUGCAAGUCGAGCGGGGAAAGGUAGCUUGCUACCUGACCUAGCGGCGGACGGUGGAGUAAUGCUUAGGAAUCGGCCUAUUAGUGGGGGAAAACAUCUCGAAAGGGAUGCUAAUACCGCAUACGUCCUACGGGAGAAACAAGGGGACUUCCGGGCCUGGCGCUAAAAGAUGAGCCUAAGUCGGAUUAGCUAGUUGGUGGGGUAAAGGCCUACCAAGGCGACGAUCUGUAGCGGGUCUGAGAGGAUGAUCCGCCACACUGGGACUGAGACACGGCCCAGACUCCUACGGGAGGCAGCAGUGGGGAAUAUUGGACAAUGGGGGGAACCCUGAUCCAGCCAUGCCGCGUGUGUGAAGAAGGCCUUUUGGUUGUAAAGCACUUUAAGCGAGGAGGAGGCUACCGAGAUUAAUACUCUUGGAUAGUGGACGUUACUCGCAGAAUAAGCACCGGCUAACUCUGUG
rnacentral:rRNA from 1 species